AAGCCAGCCAAUUAAUCUGCUUAUCUGAAUGUGUUUCUGUAGAAGCAUAGAAACAGUUGGCAAUAGUGAUGCCACGUUACGAGCCUUAAGGACAGCUGAGGUCAUUAAGAUCCCUGAAAUGGCUACAGUA